rnacentral:rRNA from 1 species
CUGGUCUUGACAUCCCGGUGACGUAUGAGCAAAGUCAUAUUUCCUUCGGGACACUGGAGACAGGUGGUGCAUGGUUGUCGUCAGCUCGUGUCGUGAGAUGUUGGGUUAAGUCCCGCAACGAGCGCAACCCCUAUUUCCAGUAGCCAGCAUAUAAGAUGGGCACUCUGGAGAGACUGCCUGGGAUAACCAGGAGGAAGGCGGGGAUGACGUCAAAUCAUCAUGCCCCUUAUGAUCAGGGCUACACACGUGCUACAAUGGCGUAAACAAAGGGAAGCGAAGUGGUGACGCCAAGCAAAUCCCAAAAAUAACGUCCCAGUUCGGAUUGUAGUCUGCAACUCGACUACAUGAAGCUGGAAUCGCUAGUAAUCGCGAAUCAGAAUGUCGCGGUGAAUACGUUCCC